rnacentral:rRNA from 1 species
GUAAAAUGCGUUGAUCCCCACGGGAACACCAGUGGCGAAGNCGGUUCACUGGUAGAAGACUGACGCUGAGACACGAAAGCUAGGGUAUCGAAGCAGAUUAGAGACCUGCGUAGUCCUAGCCGUAAACGCAUGCUUGCUAGCUGCAUUUCCGCCCCUUCGGGGGUUAGGUGUGGCGAAGGUAACCCGUUAAGCAAGCCGCCUGGGGAUUACGGUCGCAAGACUAAAACUCAAAGGAAUUGGCGGGGAGGCACACAACCAGUGGAACAUGUGGUUUAAUUCGAAACAAACCGAAGAACCUCACCUGGGUUUGACAUGUAGCUGCUCAUCCUAUGAAAGUAGGACUCCUUCGAGGGUGCUACACAGGUGCUGCAUGGCUGUCGUCAGUUCGUUCCGUGAGGAGUGCCCUUAAGUGGGACAACGAACGCAACCCCCAUCGUAUGUUAUAUCUGUCAUACGAAACUGCCUUGCCGUUGGCGAGGAGGAAGGAGGGGCAGACGUCAAGUCUGCAUGGUCCCUAUGCCCAGGGCUACACACAUGUUACAAUGAGAAGGAACAAUGAGCAUUGCGAACUCGCGAGGGUAAGCAAAUCUCAGAAAUCUUCUCUCAGUGGGGAUUGGAGUCUGCAAUUCGACUCCAUGAACGCGGAAUUGGUAGUAAUCGCGGGUCAGCUAUACCGCGGUGAAUACGUUCUUGCCUCUUGCACACACCGCCCGUCAAGCCAACAAAGUCGGGGUGAUAUGAAUCUCGACCAAUGUCGAGGGAA